CUCCUUCAAAAUCAUGCCUAAAGACAAGAUUAACAACUAAUUAACAGCAGUCAGUCGGAGAAAUCUCAAUUCAAUUACGUAAACGAGAACUAACAACUUGGCAGAGCUUACAUGGAAAUAUUCUAACAACGCUCUGAAUCACUUAGAACUCUUAAUACUUGGACAAUCACUUAACGAAUGCAAUAAAAGAACUCACUUGAAAAAGAAAAAAUAAAAAAGGAGGAAAAAGAAAGAAAAGGGGAGAAAAGGGGAGAAAAACAAAAGAAGAAGGGAAAGAAGAAAUUGAAGUUAAAAAAAUAUUUAUUAACUAACCACCAUCCUCACACCAGCAUUUAGCAAAAAUUUUCUAAUGCAUACAAUGGGAUUCAAACUUGGAACUAGACAGAAUACAAACAGAUGCUUAAC
rnacentral:lncRNA from 1 species